AUUGAACGCUGGCGGCAGGCCUAACACAUGCGAGUCGAGCGGAUGAAGGGAGCUUGCUCCUGGAUUCAGCGGCGGACGGGUGAGUAAUGCCUAGGAAUCUGCCUGGUAGUGGGGGAUAACGUCCGGAAACGGGCGCUAAUACCGCAUACGUCCUGAGGGAGAAAGUGGGGGAUCUUCGGACCUCACGCGAUCAGAUGAGCCUAGGUCGGAUUAGCUAGUUGGUGGGGUAAAGGCCUACCAAGGCGACGAUCCGUAACUGGUCUGAGAGGAUGAUCAGUCACACUAGAAGUGAGACACCGUCCAGACUCCUACGGGAGGCAGCAGUGGGGAAUAUUGGACAAUGGGCGAAAGCCUGAUCCAGCCAUGCCGAGUGUGUGAAGAAGGUCUUCGGAUUGUAAAGCCCUUUAAGUUGGGAGGAAGGGCAGUAAGUUAAUACCUUGCUGUUUUGACGUUAACAACAGAAUAAGCACCGGCUAACUUCGUG
rnacentral:rRNA from 1 species